rnacentral:rRNA from 1 species
CGGCGAGUGAACAGGGAAAAGCCCAGCACCGAAGCCUGUGGCCAUUUGGUUACUAGGCAAUGUGGUGUUUAGGUCAUUCCGCAGAUACUCUGCUCCACCCCAAGUCCAUCAAUGAGUACGGUAGUAUGGACAUGGCCCACAGAGGGUGAAAGGCCCGUGGGGGUGGAGACUCGACUGGACAGAGUGUCUCUGGGUAGACCUUGGAGUCGGGUUGUUUGUGAAUGCAGCCCAAAGUGGGUGGUAAACUCCAUCCAAGGCUAAAUACUUGCACGAGUCCGAUAGCGAACAAGUACCGUGAGGGAAAGUUGAAAAGUACUUUGAAGAGAGAGUAAACAGUGCGUGAAACCGCUCAGAGGUAAACGGGUGGAGUUGAACUGCAAGCUAUGAGAAUUCAGCUGAUGAGUGUGAUUUGGGCUUGGUCAAAUUGGUGAACUCCGGGGUCUGUGUAGUAGCAGGUCUCUGCCCUCGGGUGGGGAUGCGCGAUACACUUGUCAAGUGUUGUGCGCCUCGGUUGUUUGUUCGGCCUACUCGUCAGUGCACUUUCUCAGAGUGGUCACCACGACCGGCACCGCUGUUUGGUUGCUAUGGUUAAACCGGUUUUGCAUUGCACUCGUGGCUUUGCUUGAUCGGGAUGGCAGGUAGCUCGUUGACUUGCUUGUGGCUUGCUGCAGGCGUCGGUUUUCGAGUGUAAUCAGCUGACCUUAGUGACUCUGUGCAGUGUGUCGGAGACGGCGGCUUGAGGUGUGUGCGUGCUCCCUGUUCUGCUGACCUAUCCGGGUUUGGUUGUUUUGUUGCUUGUUCAAGCAGGCCUUAUGAUGGCUCGGAUUUGUUCGGUAGGGGGUGGGGUACGUGGCACUAAUCCCAGGGCCAAUAGUCAGUGGUGUAGUGGUAGACUUUCCACCUGACCCGUCUUGAAACACGGACCAAGGAGAGUAACAUGUACGCGAGUCAUUGGGCGUUACGAAACCCAAAGGCGCAGUGAAAGUAAAGGUUUGACUCGUUCAGACUGAGGUGAGAUCUUGUCGUUUCUUACGCGUGGUACCACCAAGCAUCGAGCGGCAGGCGCAUCACCGGCCCGUCCCAUGACAGUUGUUUUCGGGCAGUUUUCGGUCGGGGCGGAGCAUGAGCGUACAUGUUGAGACCCGAAAGAUGGUGAACUAUGCUUGCGCAGGUUGAAGCCAGAGGAAACUCUGGUGGAGGACCGCAGCGAUUCUGACGUGCAAAUCGAUCGUCAAACGUGAGUAUAGGGGCG